AGCGAACGCUGGCGGCAGGCCUAAAACAUGCAAGUCGAACGCCUGUAGCAAUACAGGAGUGGCAGACGGGUGAGUAACACGUGGGAACGUACCCUUUGGUUCGGAACAACACAGGGAAACUUGUGCUAAUACCGGAUAAGCCCUUACGGGGAAAGAUUUAUCGCCAGAGGAUCGGCCCGCGUCUGAUUAGCUUGUUGGUGAGGUAACGGCUCACCAAGGCUACGAUCAGUAGCNGGUCUGAGAGGAUGAUCAGCCACACUGGGACUGAGACACGGCCCAGACUCCUACGGGAGGCAGCAGUGGGGAAUAUUGCACAAUGGGCGCAAGCCUGAUGCAGCCAUGCCGCGUGUGUGAAGAAGGCCUGG
rnacentral:rRNA from 1 species